rnacentral:rRNA from 1 species
GACGAACGCUGGCGGCGUGCUUAACACAUGCAAGUCGAACGGAAAGGCCCUGCUUUUGUGGGGUGCUCGAGUGGCGAACGGGUGAGUAACACGUGAGUAACCUGCCCUUGACUUUGGGAUAACUUCAGGAAACUGGGGCUAAUACCGGAUAGGAGCUCCUGCUGCAUGGUGGGGGUUGGAAAGUUUCGGCGGUUGGGGAUGGACUCGCGGCUUAUCAGCUUGUUGGUGGGGUAGUGGCUUACCCAGGCUUUGACGGGUAGCCGGCCUGAGAGGGUGACCGGCCACAUUGGGACUGAGAUACGGCCCAGACUCCUACGGGAGGCAGCAGUGGGGAAUAUUGCACAAUGGGCGGAAGCCUGAUGCAGCAACGCCGCGUGCGGGAUGACGGCCUUCGGGUUGUAAACCGCUUUCGCCUGUGACGAAGCGUGAGUGACGGUAAUGGGUAAAGAAGCAUCGGCUAACUACGUG